GUGCCCGAAAGCAUAAGCUCGUUAAUUUACUGGAUAAAUCUGAUUUUGACACAUGCUUUUCAAGCUUCUAGGUACUGCCCUUUCCCAACCACACAUUGACGAGUCCCCUGCCCACAUGUCUCCUUCAGCAUUAGCCUUACUUCUUAUCCUCCUCGGAACUCUCUGUUCCUUUAUCUACGUCUCUCGACCAAAACGCCUCAAAAAUGGCCGGAAACUUCCUCCCGGUCCGCGCCCCCUGCCGGUAAUCGGUAACCUCCAUCUGCUAGGAAAGCUUCCACACCUAAAUCUUCACCAUCUAGCCAAAAGAUAUGGCCCCAUCAUGUUAUUAAGGCUAGGCUAUGUACCCACAAUCGUGGUAUCAUCACCUCAAGCCGCCGAACUAUUCCUCAAGACCCAUGACGUUGUUUUUGCAAGCAGGCCCAAAGUCCAAGCCUCGGAAUACUUGUCGUUCGGUGGGAAAGGCAUGGGUUUUACCGAGUACGGUUCCUACCGGCGAACUGUUCGGAAAUGGUGUACUCUACACCUUCUCAGUGGUGUAGAUAUUUUUAAAAUGAUGUGGUCAUUUAAGUGGUUUUUAUAUUAUUAUUUUAUUAUUUAUUUAAAUGAAAUCAGAUAUGAUGAUCAGUUACACUUUUAAAAAUUUAGUAAUUAAAUUAAGAUAAAUUAAAAUUUGAUAAGCAAAACGAGAAAAGAGAUAUAAAUUUGAUAACAAUCUAUGAAACUUAAUUGAGCACUACCGAUACAAAAACUCAAUAGAUUGUUGGUAUCAAAGCAUGGAUUUAUAUUUGAUACACCAAUAGCCUAUAGUUUUCAUAAACUGUCAAGGCAUAAUAUGGUGCAACCCAAAGCCGGCUUUACCAUAAAGCCACCAUAGCCUUUGUUUUAAAUCUCAAUUUUUUAUGGAUCUCAUAAUUUUAUAAUAAUAUAAUUAAUUAUAUUAAAGAUAUAUAAAAAUUAAAAUAAUUAAUAAAAUAUUUCUUAAAUUAAGUGCCUAACAAAUAUCUAUAUUCUCUCACUUCGCACAUCUUAUUAAUUAUCAACUAUUUAUCUCAUUUUCUAUUAAAAAUAUGUAAAAGUUAAAACAAUUAAUAAAAUGAUAUAUUCUCUCACUUCUUUAAUUAUGUGUCUAAUAAAUCUUUAUUUUUUAUCACUUUUCAAUUUUUACAAUGCUAUCAAUGCUCAAUUAUUUUUCAUAUUUUCAAUCAACGGUAAUAUGUAUUUAAUAAUCUCCAACUAAUAAUGAAUUUUUGAGUAAAAUACCCCCACCUCCUAAAUUUUAAUCGAAAUUUCAAAUAAAUCUAUUAGUUUUUAAAAUAGAUACUUCAUCUCAGAAAAAUAUCUUCCACUGGAUACAUAAAUUCAACUGUUAGUCAACCGUUAGUUUUUUCGUUAGAUUGAUGAUGUGGUCAUAUUGAAAUGAUAAUUUUACCCUUUACUAAUUAUAAAAAUUACUAUUAUAUAAUUUUUAUUAAUUUGUUAUUAUUUUUUAAUUAAUUUAAAAAAUAAGAGGGAGAUCGGUAAAAUUUAUAAAUUUUAUUCAUAAUUAUAAAAUAUAUAAUUUUUAUAAAUUUAUAAAUUUUAACAAUAAUGAAUCCAAAACCCCAAAUUUUUAAUUUUGAGUCUUGAAGAUAAUAUUUAUUUCACUCUUCUUCUUAGUUUAAUUCUUAAUAUUUAUUUCACUCUUCUUUUUUAAAUUACUUCUAAAAAAUGAAAAUGGAUUUAAUACUUUCAUGUCAGUUUGUUCAACAAUGGCUUGCCUUGAAAAAUGGUUGAGAAAAGGAGAUUGAGAUUGAUAUUUUUUUAAUUUUUAAAAAUAAUUAGUAAUAUUUAUUUUUAAACUCCUUAAAAUUAUAAAUUUAUUUUUUAAUGAGAUAGCAUCAUUUGAUAUCUUAACAGUGUAUAGAAAAUAUACUCUAGCAGUGCAUUAAAUAUAUAUAUAAACACUGUCAAGACAUCAUUUGAAACAUUUUUCGAAUGCUUCUUAACAUUAACCACAUGGGUUCAUCUCAUCUUCUCUAAAUAAAAAGAAUAAAUAACAAAAUCAUCUAUAACACAAGUAAAAGAAAUCCUUAAAAAGGGCUUCCAAGUUUAGCCACGUUGUGACUUUUUUUGGAUGACAUCUGUUCAGAAUAUAUUUAAUAUUAUUUUAUUUGUUUUUUUUUUUAAAGUUGAUGAAUUUCAUUAAUAGAAAAACAAAGAUAAGUUCCUUAGAUACAAAAACAAAGCACACUAUGCCUUGAUCAUCAUAUCAUCUCAAAAUUAUGUUGACAACCUGCCCAAGAGAAGCCAUCAAAAAAUAGAUCACCAAAAACAAACAUCCCUAUCAUCAAUUUAUAGACAGAAGAAGAUUCAACCCCAGCAUAAAGCCAUAAAGUCAUACCAAAAUCCCCCUGCUCAGUAAUUCAUUCUAGAUCAAUAAAAAACAGGUUGCAAUCCAAUCUAAAAUUCUGAAAUCUAGAUCACACGUCUUUACAAGUAAUCACAGCAUCUCAUUCAAAAGACUCCAUAUCAUCUUAGUAUUAUUUGAUUUGUAGAGGAUGCAUGUGUGGUAUUUUCUUUUUAUGCUCACUAAAACCAACUCACACUCUGGCUUUCAUUCAAUUGAGUCCUACUCCAGAAAACAUCAAUAGGCAAGGAAGCAAAGUAAAAGCCACUCCAAAAGAAAAAGCCCAAAAAAAGUGAAAAAAACUUGCACCUCCAGAGGAACGGUGGCUAGGUCUUGUUAGAAAGAGAGGAAAUUGGCGGUAGAAAGAAGGGGAAGAGAAGAAAAGAAGAAAAUGGGAAAGGGAAAGAAAGAGGGAGUUGUUGCCGAAAAUGCCCAGUUCGGCAUAGGCGACGGCAUCAGGGGCCAAGUUCGGGAGAAAGGGUUUAGAGAAACGGGUUGGUUGCUAGGGUCAGUGGGAGAAGAAGAAGAAGAGAGCAAAAACGAAGAAAAGGGAAAGGGGUUGCCAGCUACGUUUAGGGAAAAUCAAAACCACGUCGUUUUAUGGAUACAAAAAGAAGAAAAAGAAGAAGUGGGUUGGAUUCACUCAAGCCCUAACCGAUGCAAUUUUAGAUUUAGUCAAUUUAUUUUAUUUAUAUAAUUCUUUUUUAUCUAUAAAUUAAAUUUAUAAAAUUACGGAUAAAAAAAAUUAAACUAUUUUUUUUAUGAGAAAUAAAAAAUAAAACAGUUUAUUGAAUGAAGUUAACAAUGACUCAUUAAAAUUAUCGGGGAUCCCAAAAUUAUUUUCACAAGGUGGAUUAAUUCUAAAUAAAUAUAAAAGUAUAAGAUAAAAAAAUAAUAAUUAAAAUUAAAGAAAAUUCAUAAAAUUUCAUAAUUAAAAUUAAAAAAUUUUAAUAUGAGUUAUUAAUAUGCAUUUUAUUUUGACUUUCAAAAGAAAUAAUCAUUUUAUUAUAUAACUUAUGUAGCUUUUUUUUUGCUACCCAUAUAAAUUAUGUAGCUUAUGAAUAAUAACUUUCAAUAAAUUAAAUUUUCUUAAUUUUAAUUUUAUUUUACUAUUGGAAUCAUCAUAAUUAACAAAAUAUGAUUAUAUUAAUAUUAAUAUAUAUUAAGAUAUAAAAAAUAAAUAUUUUUAAAAAUUAUUUAAAUAAAAAAUUUUACUUAGUAAGACAUAGGAAAAUCUUUUUAAAAUAUCAAUUUUUUAAAAUAAUAAGCUUUAAUUUAUUAUGAUUACUAUUAUUUAUAAUUUUUUUCAAAUUUAAAAUUACUUUUUAAUUAUUAUUAUUUUAUUUAUAAUAUUAUGAAAUUUAAAAUUAUUCUUUAUUAAAAAAAUUAACCCCAUGCAAAGCGGGGCACCACUCUAGUCUUAUUAAUUAGUGCCCGAAAACAGAAGUUCAUUAAUUUACUGGAUAAAUCUAAUAUUGACACAUGCUUUUCAAGCUUUUAGGUAUUGCCCUUUCCCAACCACACACUGACGAUUCCCCUACCCACAUGUCUCCUUCAACAUUAGCCUUACUUCUUAUCCUCCUCGGAACUCUCUGUUCCUUUAUCUACAUCUCUCGGCCAAAACAACUCAAAAAUGGCCGGAAACAUCCUCCCGGUCCCCGGCCCUUGCCGGUAAUCGGUAACCUCCAUCUGCUAGGAAAGCUUCCACACCUAAAUCUUCACCAUCUAGCCAAAAGAUAUGGCCCCAUCAUGUUAUUAAGGCUAGGCUAUGUACCUACAAUCGUGGUAUCAUCACCUCAAGCCGCCGAACUAUUCCUCAAGACCCAUGACGUUGUUUUUGCAAGCAGGCCCAAAGUCCAAGCCUCUGAAUACUUGUCUUACGGUGGGAAAGGCAUGGGUUUCACCGAGUACGGUUCCUACUGGCGAACUGUUCGGAAAUGGUGUACUCUACAC
rnacentral:lncRNA from 1 species